rnacentral:rRNA from 1 species
GUUCGAUUAUGGCUCAAGAUUGAACGCUGGCGGGAUGCUUUACACAUGCAAGUCGAACGGCGGCACGGACUUCGGUCUGGUGGCGAGUGGUGAACGGGUGAGUAAUGUAUCGGAACGUGCCUAGUAGCGGGGGAUAACUACGCGAAAGUAUGGCUAAUACCGCAUACGCCCUUCGGGGAAAGCGGGGACCUUCGGGCCUCGCACUAUUAAGGCGGCCGAUAUCGGAUUAGCGCUGGUUGGUGGGGUAACGGCUCACCAAGGCGACUGAUCGUAGCUGGUUGAGAGGACGACCAGCCACACUGGGACUGAGACACGGCCCAGACUCCUACGGGAGGCAGCAGUGGGGAAUUUUGGACAAUGGAAGCCACAGUCCAGCCAUCCCGCGUGUGCGAUGAGGCGCUGGGUUGUAAAGCACUUUUGGCAGGAAAGAAACGGCACGGGAUAAUACCCGAUGCAACUGACGGUACCUGCAGAUAGCACCGACGCUAACCGUUUUCAGCAGCCGCGGUAAUACGUAGGGUGCAAGCGUUAAUCGAAUUACACUGGGCGUAAAGCGUGCGCAGGCGGUUCGGAAAGAAAGGUAGCAGAAAUCCCGAGCUUAACUUUGGAACUGCAUUUUUUAACUACCGAGCUAGAGUGUGUCAGAGGAGGAGGUGGAAUUCCGCGUGUAGCAGUGAAAUGCGUAGAUAUGCGGAGGAACACCGAUGGCGAAGGCAGCCUCACAGGAUAACACUGACGCUCAUGCACGAAAGCGUGGGAGCAAACAGGAUUAGAUACCCUGGUAGUCCACGCCCUAAACGAUGUCAACUAGCUGUUGGGGCCUUCGGGCCUUGGUAGCGCAGCUAACGCGUGAAGUUGACCGCCUGGGGAGAUACAGUCGCAAGAUUAAAACUCAAAGGAAUUGACGGGGACCGCACAAGCGGUGGAUGAUGUGGAUUAAUUCGAUGCAACGCGAAAAACCUUACCUACCCUUGAUAUGGAAUCCCGAAGAGAUUUGGGAGUGCUCGCAAGAGAACCGGAACACAGGUGCUGCAUGGCUGUCGUCAGCUCGUCGUGAGAUGUUGGGUUAAGUCCCGCAACAGGCGCAACCCUUGUCAUUAGUUGCUACGAAAGGGCACUCUAAUGAGACUGCCGGUGACAAACCGGAGGAAGGUGGGGAUGACGUCAAGUCCUCAUGGCCCUUAUGGGUAGGGCUUUACGUCAUACAAUGGUCGGGACAGAGGGUCGCCAACCCGCGAGGAGCCAAUCCCGAAACCCGAUCGUAGUCCGGAUCGCAGUCUGCAACUCGACUGCGUGAAGUCGAGAUCGCUAGUAAUCGCGGAUCAGCAUGUCGCGGUGAAUACGUUCCAGACGGAUCUUGUACACACCGCCCGUCACACCAUGCCAGGGUGGGUUUACCAGAAGUAGUUAGCCUAACCGUAAGGAGGGCGAUUACCACGGUAGGAUUCAUGACUGGGGUGAAGUCGUAACAAGAGCG